GACGAACCGUGCGAACGUUGUUCGGAUUCACUGGGCUUAAAGGGCGCGUAGGCGGGUCAGCAAGUCCGGGGUGAAAGCUUUCGGCUCAACCGGAAAAGGGCCUUGGAUACUGCUGGUCUGGAGGAAGGUAGGGGCGUGUGGAAUUUCCGGUGGAGCGGUGAAAUGCGUAGAUAUCGGAAGGAAGACCGGUGGCGAAAGCGGUCGACUGGACCUUUUCUGACGCUGAGGCGCGAAAGCCAGGGGAGCAAACGGG
rnacentral:rRNA from 1 species